rnacentral:rRNA from 1 species
CACGUAGGGGGCAAGCGUUGUCCGGAUUUAUUGGGCGUAAAGAGCUCGUAGGUGGUUCGGUAAGUCGGGUGUGAAACCUCCAGGCUCAACCUGGAGACGCCACCCGAUACUGCUGUGACUGGAGUCCGGUAGGGGAGCGUGGAAUUCCUGGUGUAGCGGUGAAAUGCGCAGAUAUCAGGAGGAACACCAGUGGCGAAGGCGGCUCACUGGUCCGGUACUGACGCUGAGGUGCGAAAGCGUGGGGAGCAAACAGG